rnacentral:rRNA from 1 species
AACGGUAACAGGAAGCAGCUUGCUGCUUCGCUGACGAGUGGCGGACGGGUGAGUAAUGUCUGGGAAGCUGCCUGAUGGAGGGGGAUAACUACUGGAAACGGUAGCUAAUACCGCAUAAUGUCGCAAGACCAAAGAGGGGGACCUUCGGGCCUCUUGCCAUCGGAUGUGCCCAGAUGGGAUUAGCUUGUUGGUGGGGUAACGGCUCACCAAGGCGACGAUCCCUAGCUGGUCUGAGAGGAUGACCAGCCACACUGGAACUGAGACACGGUCCAGACUCCUACGGGAGGCAGCAGUGGGGAAUAUUGCACAAUGGGCGCAAGCCUGAUGCAGCCAUGCCGCGUGUAUGAAGAAGGCCUUCGGGUUGUAAAGUACUUUCAGCGGGGAGGAAGGGAGUAAAGUUAAUACCUUUGCUCAUUGACGUUACCCGCAGAAGAAGCACCGGCUAACUCCGUGCCAGCAGCCGCGGUAAUACGGAGGGUGCAAGCGUUAAUCGGAAUUACUGGGCGUAAAGCGCACGCAGGCGGUUUGUUAAGUCAGAUGUGAAAUCCCCGGGCUCAACCUGGGAACUGCAUCUGAUACUGGCAAGCUUGAGUCUCGUAGAGGGGGGUAGAAUUCCAGGUGUAGCGGUGAAAUGCGUAGAGAUCUGGAGGAAUACCGGUGGCGAAGGCGGCCCCCUGGACGAAGACUGACGCUCAG